AGUAACAAGGGAUGGGAAUCGAACCCACGACCUUCCGCUUACCGGGCAGAUGCCACGACCACUAGGCCACAUGACC
rnacentral:tRNA from 1 species